UGGGGAAUAUUGGACAAUGGGCGAAAGCCUGAUCCAGCCAUGCCGCGUGUGUGAAGAAGGUCUUCGGAUUGUAAAGCACUUUAAGUUGGGAGGAAGGGCAUUAACCCAAUACGUUAGUGUUUUGACGUUACCGACAGAAUAAGCACCGGCUAACUCUGUGCCAGCAGCCGCGGUAAUACAGAGGGUGCAAGCGUUAAUCGGAAUUACUGGGCGUAAAGCGCGCGUAGGUGUUUUGUUAAGUGGGAUGUGAAAUCCCCGGGCUCAACCUGGGAACUGCAUUCAAAACUGACUGACUAGAGUAUGGUAGAGGGUGGUGGAAUUUCCUGUGUAGAGGUGAAAUGCGUAGAUAUAGGAAGGACCACCAG
rnacentral:rRNA from 1 species